rnacentral:misc_RNA from 1 species
UAUCUCUCGUCGUUCAUAUGUCAUAUGAGAACUCUGUUUCUUGUUGUUCAAGCUCGGUUUAAAACGUUACACAUACGUUAUCAUAAUCCUGUUGAACGAAUGGUCGAGUUAGUAACAGUAGAGUGAUUGAAGUCUCAGUUUGCUGUAGCCUGUGUCCACGAUAACCUAGAAGUUGAUGUUUAUUGUUGGGAUUUUUAAGUUCGUGUUUCAUUUAUCAAUCUACUAAAAGAACAUAAAAAAAGGAAAUACAUAUCUAUAUAAAGACAAAAGAAGAAAAAAGGAAAGAGUUAAACAUUAGUAGAAACCUGCAAUAUUACCGACUUGGACGGAGUUUGAAGAUCGAUUAUAAAUCCUGAUGGAAGAUGUUAACGGAACUGAAGUUAUCCUAGAGAUACCAAGGUAUCCUCGUGGUGCUACAGUAUUUGCUGCUGUUUGCUGUGUUAUAUUCAUCAUCAUUGGGCUGCUGGGCAACUUUUUGACGAUCCUCGCCCUCUGUCGGAGCGUAAAAUUGAGAAACGCCACCACGGCGUUUGUAAUCAGUCUUUGUACAACUGACUUCCUGUUUUGUGCGAUUAAUUUACCUCUAACAGCAUCACGGUACAUCCACCAGGCUUGGUUGUUAGGAGAAACAAUGUGUUCUCUGUUUCCGUUUUUCUUCUAUGGAAACGUUGGGGCUUCCCUCCUGUCUAUGACAAUGAUUACAAUCAACAGAUUAAUCUUAAUCAACCACUACAACCUGUACGACAGAAUCUACAAGAAACGUUACGUGGCGCUGAUGAUCGCCUUUUCUUGGAUAUUUAGCUUCUCCAUGCUUACACCGACAUUGGCACGUGCUUGGGGAGAGUUCGGUCUGAACGAUGAAACAUUUUCUUGUACCAUCCUAAGACGAAACGGUCACUCUCCAAAGAAGUUCUUGUUUAUCAUAGGCUUCUUGGUUCCUUGUGUCGUGAUCAUUGUCUCCUACUCUUGUAUCUUCUACAAGGUACGUCACAGUCGGAGAAAUAUCGAGGCUCACAGUCCAACCAGUCAAACAACUCCAUCCACCAUCACGAGACAAAAUACCCAACGAAACGAUGAAAUUCGACUGACUCGCAUGAUGCUGAUCAUCUUCUGCUCAUUUAUUCUUUGUUUCCUACCCCUGAUGGUAGUAAAUGUUUUUGACAGCAGAAUUAGAUACCCUACCAUACAUGUCCUAGCUUCAGUCUUGGCAUGGAUGUCAUCUUGUAUCAAUCCAUUCAUCUAUGCAGUGAUGAAUCGUCAUUACCGUCAAGCUUACUACCGGCUGUUAUGUUCAAAGGUUCGUCAUCACACACCAUCGACAGGAUCAAGUUUAAACCGUUCCCAAAAUUCAUGCUUAGCUGGAGCUUCCAAAACUGUGGUUUCUGAAAUAUUUGUUUUUCCUACCAAAGUCAAACCUGAAAGAAAUGAUAAGGAGGAAAAUGCUGUUUAAAACUUUGAUAACCAAUUCUUAUUUUAUGAUUAUUUAGAUCAGAGUUAGAGUAUGCAGCACUGCAUGCAAAAAUGUAAGUUAGAUAUCUGAAUAACUAAACAAAAUACCCAAAAACUCAGAAAGACCUGGUUGUAAGGAUAUUUACUCAAAUUAAUGUGAAAAUCUCAAUAGUUUUAAUUAUGUUUGAUAGAGUCUUGCUUUUCUGAAACGUGUUAGUAAUAACUAAAUUCAUCUUAAUUUUGAUUGUGGAUAUAAGAAAAAAAGAACUGCUACAUUCUUAUUAAAAAUAUGUUUACUUUAAUAUUUAGUUACUGUUACUGUAUAAUGCCUUUAUAUUCAUUGUUUAUGCUGAAUAAUUAGUUUACAUUGAAAUAAUUAUAGACUGUCAAGAAUGAGGAACUUUUUUGCAAACCUUAGUUUAACAUCUUUAACAGCCAUGCAAUAUAAAAAUCACAGGUUUUUGAAUGUGUCAAUUUCGGUAAUAUAUAUAUAUAUAUAUAUAUA